UACGAAGGGGGCUAGCGUUGCUCGGAAUCACUGGGCGUAAAGGGCGCGUAGGCGGAUGGUACAGUCAGACGUGAAAUUCCUGGGCUCAACCUGGGGGCUGCGUUUGAUACGUGCUGUCUGGAGUUCGGAAGAGGGUCGUGGAAUUCCCAGUGUAGAGGUGAAAUUCGUAGAUAUUGGGAAGAACACCGGUGGCGAAGGCGGCGACCUGGUCCGAUACUGACGCUGAGGUGCGAAAGCGUGGGGAGCAAACAGG
rnacentral:rRNA from 1 species